GAUGAACGCUAGCGGCAGGCUUAACACAUGCAAGUCGAGGGGUAGAACACUUCGGUGUUUGAGACCGGCGCACGGGUGCGUAACGCGUAUGCAAUCUGCCUUGUACAAAGGGAUAGCCCAGAGAAAUUUGGAUUAAUACCUUAUAGUGUAUAGAUGUGGCAUCACAAUUAUAUUAAAGAUUUAUCGGUACAAGAUGAGCAUGCGUCCCAUUAGCUAGUUGGUAUGGUAACGGCAUACCAAGGCAAUGAUGGGUAGGGGUCCUGAGAGGGAGAUCCCCCACACUGGUACUGAGACACGGACCAGACUCCUACGGGAGGCAGCAGUGAGGAAUAUUGGUCAAUGGGCGCAAGCCUGAACCAGCCAUGCCGCGUGCAGGAUGAAGCAUCUAUGGUGUGUAAACUGCUUUUGUACGGGAAGAAACAACUCUUCGUGAAGAGUCUUGACGGUACCGUAAGAAUAAGGAUCGGCUAACUCCGUGCCAGCAGCCGCCGUAACAC
rnacentral:rRNA from 1 species